rnacentral:lncRNA from 1 species
UCCCCUAUUAUUGUCACACUCACCCGACCAAAGCAGCAAACCCUAGCAUUGCGCGAGCGGCGGCGGUGGCUGGGCACGAGCUUUGAGCGGAGCGGUGGUUGGUGGGCGAUGAGGCGAGGUUGCAUGUUGCUGUGGAGUGCGGACGCGGACGGGUGGGCGUCGGCCGUCGCGGACCGCGCGGGGGUGCGUUCAAGGCAUGCCGUGGGGCUGUGGAUGCGGGCGGCUAGCGCUGCCGAGGUCGGCGAGGUGGCCAGGUAGGGGGCGCGAGGCUAGGCGCGAGGGGCGAUGCGAGCAGUGGCUGCCGGGCGAGGAGGAGACGCUGUGUGCUGUUGCCGAGUGCGGACGCGCGGUCGUGGGCGGGCGGCCGGCGGCCGACGCACGUCGCGCGAGGCUUUGGCCGUUGCGGCGCUGUGAGAUUGAGAAAAGGAAGGUUCGUCAUUUUGCUGGUGUUCAGUAAGCAAACUGGAAAAUGUCGUAUGCAUACUAUCCUCAAUAGUUACCACUCUAUUGAGAUUUUUACAGUUAUUACAUAAAUUAGCCAUCAAGUUCCGAAUUUAUACAAUAUGCAUAGAUGUAUUAGAGCUGCCAUCACUUUUUUUCUGGCAGGACAAUGUUAUUUCUACUUCACUGUUAAUGGGAACAAUUAUUUCUGGAAUCAUAAGGAGAAGUGUGAUUGAAAUUUCUCAAAAUCUUGAAUUUCAGGUAACACAACAGGCAUAAGCAUCCUUCUGCUCAUGCUGAAUUUCUAUUGAUUUCAUUUGACAUGUAAAAGUCAUAGCCAAUAGCUGAGGUUUUAAACAGAGGUGGUAUUUCAACACAUAUAAAUGUGCCCUGUAGAAAGAGUGGAGCAUGAUAGAAUAGAGAGUAAUUUAGGCUAAGAAACUUGAAGGUUUAGAGAUAUUUAAUUUUAUUUAGGAUUUGUAGUAUUAGAAUAUAGAGUAGAAAGGCAUUAUCAUUGUGUUAAUUACGACCAGGUCUAAAUGCUUGAUAUCUCUGUCACCUGAUUUUCCACGAAACUCCCACAUCCUUGAUAUAUUCACACAUAGAGUCCACUGGUAUUGUUCAAGUAGUAUGUCUGAUGGUAAGUCAUUAGCCAUCUACAAACAAAUAAAAUGAAAAUGCUUGUUAUAUAUAUGCAAACACUUCAUGAUAUACAAUGUUUUUUGUCUCAUUAGUACAUGUCCCAUCCUCUUUUUCUAUAAGAAUUUUCAGACCAUUUUUAGAAGUAACUCGAGAUGCAGCAACAUAUAAUUGUCCAUGUGUAAAAACUGGUUUUUUAAGAUAUAUACCAACAUUAGAUAAUGUUUGACCUUGGCUUUUGUUUAUAGUCAUUGCAUAACACACUUUAACAGGAAAUUGACGACGAUUCAAAACAAAUGGCCAUUUAGAUCCUCUUGUAGUUAAAUUAAUUCGUGGAAUUAGUACUUUAUGGCCGAUAUUUGAACCUGUUAUAAUUAGUGCUUCAAUGACAUUAUCUCCUAGAUUUGUAACAAUCAUUCUUGUACCGUUGCAUAAACCAAUGGUCUGGUUUAUAUUUCGUAGAAGCAUGAUAGGAACACCUAUUUUAAGCGUUAGGUUAUGCUGUGGAAAGUUAUUUGCAUUUAAAGAAUUCAAGUAUUCUAUAGGGUAUAAAAUGUUAGCAUCGUUGCAUGUUUCAAAACAUUUUGAAAUAGAAUCUGCACUAUAGUAUUCUUUUACUUCACCUGGUACAAGUGUUAAUAUAUAUGAAUUAAUAUCAUCAACUAUUUCAUUUGUUGUAGUCAAUAUUGCUCUCUCUUUUAGGUAGGAAGCAUUUAAAUAAUUUUGUUUGAAGUCGGGAUAUAUAAUAUUUACUAAUGCUGGAAUUUUUGGCUUCUCGGUGAAUAAAAGGAGGUCAUUUGGUAUACGAAUCCAUGUUUCUUCUUCAUCGUUUUCAUGCUUAGUUGCUGGUAAUUUACCAUCUCCUAGAUCAAGCAACCAGCUAGUAAAUUCUUUUAGCUCUUCUUGUUCUUCUUUACACAGGUUUUUGUUUUGCAAUCGCAUAUUUUCUUUUAGCUUGAUCACUUUAACAUCUUUCCAUAGAUAAGAUUUUAUAAUUGAUGCAUUAACUAUCUGAGAUCUUGUGCCAUAUUCUAUUACUGGUAAUAUUUGCCGUAGAUCGCCACCAAGUACUACUAUUUUACCACCAAAUGGUAUUGUAUUUGCUUUGUCAUCAGUUUGGCUAAUGAUAUCUCGUAAUGAGCGAUCUAAUGCUUCGAAACACUGUCUGUUUGUCAUAAUUGCCUCAUCCCAUAUUAUUAAUGAUGUCUGAAUUAGUAGUUCUGCAAGAAUAGUUCCUCGUUUGAUAUCACAUAUUGACGUCUCAUCAAUGUCAAGUGGUAUCUUAAAUCUAGAAUGUGCUGUUCUUCCAUUUGGUAAUAAUAAAGAUGCUACUCCUGAUGAUGCAACUGUAAGAACAAUUUUUUUUCGAGCUCUAAGAUAUGAGACAAUAGUAUUCCAAAGGAAUGUUUUCCCAGUCCCACCGUAACCUGAUACAAAAUAGAAUCCUGGUUUGUUUUGCAAUGCUGAUUCUACUAUAGUGUUGAAAGCGUGUUUUUGUUCUGUAUUUAGUUGUCCAUAUAAUAUAUUGGCUUCUUUCUCUAAUUUGUCAAUAUCAUAAUUAGUUUCUUCUUCAACUAAACGAUUGUUAUAAUAGUUAUCAUAUUUGAUACUUCGUCUUGGGAGAUUAAAUGUUGUUAUUUGUACACCAUUGCGAGAUAGUAUAUAUUGUAGGUCAUCCAAUAACAUGUCACGGAGUUGAUUAUCUGUUAUAUGAUAUUUGAUAGGAUGAUACUUAUGUACUAUUUCAUUUUCAAAGUCAUCAACCAUUAAUCGCCAAUUUUUCUCAAAAAAUUCCCAUUCAUUUUGUAUAUUGCAAAAUAAUAACAUAGUUACAAAAAGUUGUCUUAAUUGAUAUGACGAGGACCAAGUAGCAGCUUCCUUGAAUGUUUGGUACCAUUCAUCGUCAUUAUUCAAAAGGCCUCUUGCAGAGCAUGCAUCUUUGAAUGUACUAUAUACAACUCCAUUAUAGGUUUUAACAUCAUUAUAGUUCGUAGCUCCUUUAACUACCAUUAGCAACAUUCGCAAAUAAAAUCUUUCUCCUUCAGCUGGGUUUACAUAAUAUAGGCGACCGAUUUUAAAACCAUGCUUUCUUUCAUUCCAUUUACGAUUUUUUUGAUCCCAUGUCCAUUUUGUUGGGAAUUCACAAUAGGUUAAUUCGUGGGCUUUUUCGUAUCGUUGGUUUGCUGUGAACCAUUCAGUUAACAUUGUUUUUUGAAGAUUCGGAUUUUUUAUCAAAACUUUAAGGUCUUCAUUAGAUUUGUAAGUAACAUUGUUCAUUAAUGGCAAAUGGACGGGCAAUCGUUCUACAGGAGGUGUAUGAUGAUGGAUUUCAAAUCCAAAUAAUCUCCAUAGUGCAUCUUGCUCAGAUAUGUAUCUGCAGUCAAGAUAUUCCUUUAUUUCAUUUAUUGUAUUAUCUUCUAUGUUUAUUGGAGUAUCUUCACCUUUUUUUAUACGUUGAAACAUAAUCUUGGCUUUGUCGGGUCCUUUAUGUACAUAUUUACAUAAAUAUUUAAUUACUCUACUUUUAUUGCAAUAUUCUACAUUUAUGUGAGCUUGAUACUUUUUCAAAAGGAGUAUAUUGUAUGGGACAACCCAUUUGUUGUCAAGAUUGUGGUUUUCUCUACAAACAUAGAUUCCUGUAUUACGUCGUCUAUAUAUUGUGAAUCCAUUUUCAUCAAAUUUAGUUUCAUCUUGAAAUUCUUUUGGGAAAAACUUUGAGCAUUUUCCUUUUUUCAUACAAGGACAAUUUGGGUUUUUAUCUCCACAUGGUCCAUGUAUCAUGUGUUCAGCUACAAGUAAAUAUCCUAAUGUGUCUGUAUUUGGGUCAGGGAUUUCAGCUGAGAUUAAUCUGUCUAUUGUUUCAUAUGUAACAUUUAUUUUACUUUUUGCUAACCAUACUAAUAUAUGAGCAUGAGGUAGACCUCUUUUUUGGAAUUCAAUGCAAUAUAAUAUUGCAUCAAUUGGACCAAAGAUAUCACUAUUUUCAAUAUCAUGUAGUAGUUCUUGUAGUUUCAUGUGAAAUACUCGUACUAUUAUGUCCGGGCGAUCGUUAGGCUGCUGUCCCUCCAAUAGCAUUUCUAGUAUCUCUGGCCAUUUAGGAUUGCAUGUAAAUGUUAUGAAUAAAUCUGGCGGACCAUACACACGACAUAUGGCAAUGCCAUCAUGGUAGUUCUGUAUCAUGUAUCGUCUACUUCCUGUAUGGCUACAUGGAAGUAAUACUCGUUUACCAAUUUCUUCACCAUUUUGAAUACCUUUUUCUAUUGCAUCUGUUAUGCCUUGUAAAUAUUCAACUCUUAAUUUAGAUUGGUUGUUAGCAAUGAAUAAGAGUCUAUCUUCAUCUUCACAUGCUCGAGCAUCAACUAUUAUCUGUUUGGAUAAUCUUCCAUAACAUAAGUACGGGUUAGGCUGAUUUGGUCUAUAAUGUAUUUGGUAUCUGAAAUAAUCAUGCAUUGUUAGUCUUUUCUUUUUACCAUUGCUGUUAUUAUAAUAGAUAUUAAUCUGAUAUCCUCUUUCUCCAUAUGGAAAUAGCAAAGGAUAUUGCAAAGCCAUAUAUGCAGGGUGGUAUAUUGAGAUUUGUUGUAGUCCAUGUUCCUUGCUGCUUACAAUGAUAUCUCGUUUGCAAUUUUCCGUUGAGUAGUCACCUACUACUAAUAUUGCUAACUCAUCAGUAGUAGGCAUUUCAUAUUGUACAGGGUCAUCUUUUUGAGCUCCAAUAAUACGGAUUUUUACAUCUAUUCCAUUAUAUUGUUGAAGUAAAUCUCUUGCUUUUCGAAAAGUUUUUACUAAUGGGUUAUGUGUAUCUAGCAUUUCUUUUAAGCCUUGUAUAAUAUCAAGGUCUAAAUCUGUACUGAUUGAAUCUUCAUGUGUUAUAGCUUGGAGUCUAUUAUUUAUUUCAUUUUGUGUAUCGAAAAUAUAUAAUUCAACGAAUUUUGGUAUGUUAUUUGGUUUUGGUAAUAAAGAUCCUAUACGAUGAUGUAUUUGUCCAUUGACACGGAACACAUAAGGGCCAUUGCCUUGAUUGAUACUUUUGUCAAUAUUACCUCCCAUAGAUGUGAAACAAAAUAGACUAUUGUACUGCCUUAUUUUUUCUAGAAAAUGUUUGGAUCUAGUACCACCAUUAUAUUGUAAUAAUGUGGAUAAAAAUUCAGGUGGGUCUUUGAAAGGGGGUAUUUUAAUUUUUCCUUCUCUACAACAUUGUGUGUAAAUAAUAUUUCUGUCUCUAUUUCUUUCAUGUCUAAUUCUUUCUUCAAACCAAAAUAUGGCUCCACAAUAUUUACAAAUGUUUGAAGCUGCACCAUAAUAUGAACGUUUAGGAUAAGAUUCUUUAAGGUAUUUUAUGUGCUCCGGAGAUAAAUGAAUCAUACCACGUGGAAUAGAUAGAUGCACUAAUCUUUUCUGUAUGUUUAUAUUUUUUCGCUUCAGUCUAUUUUCUUUUGUAUUUAUAUUUAUGGAAGGUGUAUUUAUAUCUUGUCUUUGAAUUGGACAUGUGCUUUCAAGUUUUAUUUUCUUACAAUGUUCAUUUAUAUCUGAUAUGGAAUUUAAAUUUUUAGAACUACGUUUUCUUUCAUGUUUAUGUUCCAACUUUAUUUUCUUUUUACCCCUUUCAGAAUCAUCACUGUCAAAAUUAACACGCUUUUUAUUUUCAUUAUUAGUCAUAUCUUUGUAUAAUCAAAUAUAUUAUAUUUAACCAGACAUAUCAAAAGGUUAGUAAUGCAUAUGUAACGUAAUUUAACGACUAAACUACAUUAUUAUUAUUAUUUUUAUGUUUUACAGGUGGCAUGGUGUGGAAGAAACAUUCUUUUUGAGAGUUUGCACAAAAAACUUUCAUACUGAAUUAAGACAUUAGCUCUGUAAUUCGAACUUGAUUGGAAUUGAAAAGGGAAGAUGCAAAUGGAGAGAUACAGUACAUACCUGUGUCACGGUAAUUGGCUGUUUCUCUCUGGAGGGGGUUAGGAUUUUUGCUAUCACGGGAUGAAGGGAAUGAUAAUUGGCUGUUUCUCUGUAUCGUGGAGAGGGUCUGGCUCUCUGCUAUCACGCGAUGAAGGGAACGUGUUUUUCAGGGAAGUGGGAUGGUUGUUUGCUGAGGAAGGAUGAGUUCAUAUUUAUAUUCAGAUAGGAGUACUUCUCUAUAAUUUUCUAGAGUCCUCUUUAAGAAGACGAUGAGUUGGUCAUGUUAUUCACAGAGUAUAUGUAAUCUCUAAAUUUUUAUUUAUCUAUAACUUUCUAGAGUUCUCUAUCUUCUCAUCCGGUUCAGAUUUUUCAGAUGACAUGACAUGGCGCCUGUAAUUUUCUAGAGUUUUUAGAAGUCUGUGCUAGUAGUAUUUAUCAGAUGACAUCAUUCGGUCCAGUUAUGACAUCUUUUUUUUAUCUAUAACUUUCUAGAGUUCUCUAUAUUAUCAUCCGGUUUAGAUUUUUCAGAUGACAUGACAUGGCACCUGUAAUUUUCUAGAGUUUUUAGAAGUCUGUGCUAGUAGUAUUUAUCAGAUGACAUCAGAAGUCUGUGCUAGUAGUAUUUAUCAGAUGACAUCAUUCGGUCCAGUUUUCAGAUGACAUCAUCAUGACGUGGCAGCAAUACUUUUUUGUUACCGCGACGCGGUUUCAGUCUUUAGAGAU